rnacentral:rRNA from 1 species
CAGUCGAACGAUGAACCUCACUUGUGGGGGGAUUAGUGGCGAACGGGUGAGUAACACGUGAGUAACCUGCCCUUGACUCUGGGAUAAGCCUGGGAAACCGGGUCUAAUACUGGAUACGACCUUCCCGCGCAUGCGGUGUUGGUGGAAAGCUUUUGCGGUUUUGGAUGGACUCGCGGCCUAUCAGCUUGUUGGUGGGGUAAUGGCCUACCAAGGCGACGACGGGUAGCCGGCCUGAGAGGGUGACCGGCCACACUGGGACUGAGACACGGCCCAGACUCCUACGGGAGGCAGCAGUGGGGAAUAUUGCACAAUGGGCGCAAGCCUGAUGCAGCGACGCCGCGUGAGGGAUGAAGGCCUUCGGGUUGUAAACCUCUUUCAGUAGGGAAGAAGUCGGCCUUUCGGGGUUGGUGACGGUACCUGCAGAAGAAGCGCCGGCUAACUACGUGCCAGCAGCCGCGGUAAUACGUAGGGCGCAAGCGUUAUCCGGAAUUAUUGGGCGUAAAGAGCUCGUAGGCGGUUUGUCGCGUCUGCCGUGAAAGUCCGGGGCUUAACCCCGGAUCUGCGGUGGGUACGGGCAGACUAGAGUGCAGUAGGGGAGACUGGAAUUCCUGGUGUAGCGGUGAAAUGCGCAGAUAUCAGGAGGAACACCGAUGGCGAAGGCAGGUCUCUGGGCUGUAACUGACGCUGAGGAGCGAAAGCAUGGGGAGCGAACAGGAUUAGAUAC